UACGGGGGGGGCAAGCGUUGUUCGGAAUUACUGGGCGGAAAGGGCUCGUAGGCGGCCAACUAAGUCAGACGUGAAAUCCCCAGGCUCAACCUGGGAACUGCGUCUGAUACUGGAUGGCUUGAAUUCGGGAGAGGGAUGCAGAAUUCCAGGUGUAGCGGUGAAAUGCGUAGAUAUCUGGAGGAAUACCGGUGGCGAAGGCGGCAUCCUGGACCGACAUUGACGCUGAUGAGCGAAAGCUAGGGGAGCAAACGGG
rnacentral:rRNA from 1 species